rnacentral:lncRNA from 1 species
UGCGAAGCAGUUCGAGGUAUUCGACAUCGAACUCCUCGCUGUUCAGGACUGCCAACGGAGAACAAUAGCCUUUUACUCCGAUGUAGUGUGCAGCUGAGCAAAAGAUGAUCAUCAAAUCUCCAAUUGGUGUGUGCUGGUAAAGAUGAUCAUCAAAUCUCCAAUUGGUGUGUGCUGGUAAAUGUAAGGAAAAGAUUUUUGUUUCUGGCCAGGCUUCAGAGUUCUUCAGAGUUGCUCCUACUGUAAAUGUAAGGAUGUAGCAAUGACAUUAAUGUGAUGAUUGAAGGA